CUUCUCCAUCACACUAUCGCCGCUGGCGGACCAAUUCCACAAUUGAGUAGCCGGCGGUUCGAUUCCUCCUUUGAGCAGCUGGAGGAUCAAUUCCACCAUCGAGUACCAGGCGAAUGUGGUGGCGCCGUUGCAGAUAAUCAAUCGGGCUGCAUGAUUAAUUCAGAUCCAGGAACGAUGACAAUCAGGUAAUUUUUGAAAAUUCCCUAGUCCCCUUAUUGGAUUGUAGAGUGGUUGUGGAUGGAGAUGAGGCGUGAUUCAAUGGCGUGGCAUUUCAAUAAACUUGCUGUGGAAUUAGGUUCAACAGUUGAGGGAAGUUGCUUAAUUAAUCUAUAUAUGUAUUAUCAAUUCAAUUCAAAGCUGAAAUUAGCCGAAAGAAGGGUACAGAUUCUAUUUUGAAGCUCAAGAUUCUAAGAAUUUUAAUUCCCAAUCUGCCAAUGGAUUGAAUUCAAGCCUCUGCUGAUUUCGAAACAACUAUUGCUCUAAAUUAAUUUUUUUUUUUUUUUGGCAAUCUAAUUAAGGGUUUCGGAUAGAAAAACAUUGGUGAAAUUGGGUUAUUGACAGUGCCCACAGGAAAGGGAUACAUGGUUCUUUUGCAAAGGUUAGGUCUUGUAUUCAAUCAGGUUUCAAAGAUUGUGUUCAAAAAUAAAAUCAGGUUACAAUACGUCUGUUCAUAUAUGUACGUAGAGAGAAAUAGAGAGAGAGUUUGUUAGGGUUUAACAAUUUAAGGAGUUUUGCAAUUGUGAAUUUGGAUUGUGCAGUUUGAAUUUGGGUUGUGCAAUUUGGCUAAUGCACGAAACAAUCAUGAUGCAAAUUUCAAAUACAUGUAUAAGAUACGCUAUAUGAAUAGAGAAUGAAUUUUCACGUGAUAUAAGAUAUUAUUUUCACAAGGGAUUCCAAUCUUAACAUAAGGCUCUGAUACCAAUUGUUAUUAUUUGUUUUUAACAUGUUAAGAAUUGGAAUCACAAUAAAUCAAUAAAUUGAAUGCGUACUUGCGGAAGCAAUCAAUAUGAAUUAUGGAUGUAAUAUGUAAUAGAGGCUGGAUCUUCCCCUCCUUGCUUCUCAUAAAAUUGAAAGCUAUCAAUGGGACAAGCUUAAACGAUAUGGAAAGGAGAGGGGACCUAGCCUUUAUAUAGGAAUCAAAUAGGUCUCCCAUUAAGACUCAACAGGCCCUUAUUAGGGUUUUUAUUCCGGCCCACAUACUUAAAAUUACCACAUUAUUUAAUUUCAACCCGUAAGGUGUAAAGGCCCAAUUGAUCACAUAAUUAAUUUUGGCCCAAUAACAAAACACAAUGAGCUAUAUAUCUAACCCGUAAAAUUUACAGUCUAAUGUGAGGCCCACAUAUGGAAUAAUUCCAACAUAUACAGCUUGGGAUAUGCGAUCUGCCCUUUGAAAUGGCCCAAGACAAAAGCUCUAUGACACUAGGGAUGUUGAAAUGGGUCCUACUAUCAGCCAAGUCAUAUUAGGAAAGAUUGCUGAAGACCUCUAAAGCCUAAAAGAUAUUCCUUGCGUUUUCGUUAGGAUCAACUUGCACACUAGAGGUUUCACCUGCCCCAUUGUGUGUCCCAGCACCAAACCAAAAGUUUUAUGCUUGACCUAAAUAGGUUAAUGCAUAUACCUAAAUGGGUCAUAGCUCUAUAAUGAAGCACAUCAAAAUAUAAAAUUUCUAUUGAAGAAGAAAAAGUGCCAAGGUAUCAUCUCCUUAAUUGGAACCUCUGGAAUCGAAAUCGCUAGAUGCACUCCGAAAAUUAGUAUGGAAAGAAAUUGUAGGAAAGAUGUUGGAUGGAGAUGCAAGAAUAGUAAGCUCAAAGUUGGAAUUUGUUCGAGAAAAGUGGGGCGGCAAGAUGAAGAAGGCCAAUCGGAGUAAUGGCAUAUUUAUUGAUUCUAACAGGAGAUACUUACCAUUAAAAUAUGUUAGUAAUAAUCACAACUAUUGAGAAUAAGCAGACAUUUAUUCAAAUCUCAAGGUAAAUGAUGUAUAACCUAUCUGGACCUAAGUGAUUCAUGGGCCAUUAACAAAAAAAAAUUUGCUAAUAAGGUCCAUCUGCUCUUACAAAAUGAUAAUGGUUGCCGACAUGCUCCUCCUGACCAGCAAGAACGUGCUAGGUAGAAUGGAGAGCUCUUAAUAGUUUCGUCAAUCAAGAUACAACAAAUAAAGCCCUAAAUUCAAUGUAAAUAGCUAAAUCGGACUUGGCGACUAGUUGUUAACCUCCUAAGUGAGAUCCAUGAGUAUAAGUGGAUUGUCAGCUAAGCAUAAAACAAUGCAAAGAAAACAAAGAAGAAGAAGGCUUGCAUAAAGGUCUCAUGGGUAGGUUGAAUAAAACGUGAUUCUUAAUGGAAUCGGUUACGAGAUAUCCAAUAAAGAGCUACCACCUAUCGUUCUCUAAAAAUAACCAAAUCAUUCUGACACUUGAAAGGAAUCUAUAAAUACUCUCUCCCAUUUAAAAGGAAUGCAUGCAAUUCAAUUAUCUCCCUCUCAAAUAACUAUUUCUCCUCUUGUUCUAGUUGAAUCAUCUACACUAGUGAAUUUAGGAGGUGAAAAUCAUAAUUAGUUGGAAGGAUUUUAUUUACAUUGAUUUUCAAUUAUAAUUAUUUUUCACCAAAAAAAAAUAAAAUCAUUUAGUAAGAUUCUUCUAAAUUUAGUAAAAAAAUUUAAAAUUUAGGUAUCAUCAAUAAUUAUUGAGUUUAUAAGGAUUUUAUCAAUAGAGGAAUUUUAAAAUAUAUGAAUGGACUUCAAGUUUAAAAAUAUAUAUUUCAAAAUCUUUUGAAAUUUUACCAUUUUUGAUGGAUUCUUUUGGAAUUCGUGAAAAUCUAUUUAAAUUCAAGAAAUUCAUUAGAAUUUAUAAUCUUUUAAAAUUUAUUAAAUUUUAGUGGAGGACGCCCCAUUAAAGUAAUGCGCGCUAUUUAAAUUUCUUGUAACACUAUUAUUAAAGGUACUCUAAAUGGACUGAUUAAUUUUAAUAGAACCAUUUUUACUUUUUUUUUUUUUUUGCGACAAAAUAUGGACGUGUUUAAUUUGAGUUUUGCACCAUGAGUAAACAUUUAAUCUAAUGGAUUUAUAUUUACUUUAGACUGCAAAAGAGGAGAUGGGGAAGUUUUAGUCUCACAAGCAUGGAAUGAUAUAAGGGAUCAGUAAUGGUAAGUUGAUGAGUUUCUUGAGGAUUAAGUUGAUUUUGAUUGUCGGAAGUUAAAGCAAAAUUUUGACAGUGCCGACAUGAAUAUUGAUAAAUUGUGUUAUGGUUAUUAAUUCUUGAUCCAUCAAUUACUUAAGAGAUAUUUUUAAUUAAUCAG
rnacentral:lncRNA from 1 species